UACAGAGGGUGCUAGCGUUGUUCGGAAUCAUUGGGCGUAAAGGGUGCGUAGGCGGUUCGUACAGUCAGACGUGAAAUUCCCGGGCUCAACCUGGGGGCUGCGUUUGAUACGUGCGGGCUUGAGUUCGGAAGAGGGUCGUGGAAUUCCCAGUGUAGAGGUGAAAUUCGUAGAUAUUGGGAAGAACACCGGUGGCGAAGGCGGCGACCUGGUCCGAUACUGACGCUGAGGCGCGAAAGCGUGGGGAGCAAACAGG
rnacentral:rRNA from 1 species